rnacentral:misc_RNA from 1 species
UUAAGUUCAGCGGGUAUCCCUGCCUGAUUCGAGGAGUUCCAAUGUCUUUGCUCUCCCCGCCCCACACAGGGGCCCGGGCUGGCAACCUCGCCGCGCGGGUGCGCCAAUGUGUCAUAUCACGCUCGGCCACGCGGCAGGCGUCCGCCCAUCGAUUCCACGGGGUGGCCGCCCCGGCUCGGGCCCGCCACCUCCGCCAUGAC